GAUUUUAUGAGACAUGAUCUCGUCGAUCCCGUCUAAAAUGGAAAUAGGGGACAGAUGCUGCGGCGGAGAGAGGAGAAGAAACGAUUUAUUGUAACGGACAUGAGAAGAAGUAAGGUCGCGCGAAGGGGGAGCGAUUUACUAUAACAGACAUGAGAAGAAGCAAGGUCGUGCGAAGGCGGAGCGAUUUACUGUUUUGCGUGGAGAAGAAGCAAGGUCGUGUGUAUUGGUUUGGUUUGAUUUAGAGGUUUAGAUAGUGAACGGUUCGCUUCGGUUCGGUUUGGUUCGGUUUGGUUCAGAGGUUCAGAGAGAGGUAGUUCAAUAGUUCGGUUCAGAUGUUUAGAGACAACAGUUCGGUUCGUUUCGGUUCAGAGGUUCAGAGAGAGACAGUUCAAGACUAAAUUACAAAUCAUUCUAGAAAAUAAUAAACGGUUAGAAAUUCUAUGUUGAUCAAAAAGGAACAAUUCAUGGCAAAAAGAACUACUAACCUGAAACCCUAGCAAGAAGGAAACGUUUAGAUCUUGUAAAUGUGAGCAUCGAUUUCUAGGGAUAAGAUAAUAAGAUUAUUAUAUAAGAAAGAAAGAUUUGAUCUUAAUAUCUAAAUUUCUUAUCGUUCAGAUUUUGGAAUAAUAACAUCAGAUGAUGGUUUCGAUCUGAAGCAAGGAUGGAUUUUAUAGGCAAAAUUGUAGCAGCGAGGAAGGUAGAAGAAUCGGCCAUGGUAGAGGAAUCGACAGACGGUAGAUUUGAUGAGACACGAUCCAUCUGAAACGGUGGUAGAUUUUAUGAGACACGAUCUCGUCGAUCCCAUCUAAAACGAAAAUAGGGGACGGAUGCUGCGGCAAAGAGAGGAGAAGAAACGAUUUAUUGUAACGGACACGAGAAGAAGCAAGGUCGCGCAGAGGGGGAGCGAUUUACUGUAACAGACAUGAGAAGAAGCAAGGUCGUGCGGAGGCAGAGGGAUUUACUAUUUUUCUUGGAGAAUAAGCAAGGUCGCGUGUAUUGGUUCAGUUUGAUUUAGAGGUUUAGAUAGUGAACGAUUCGCAUCAGUUCAGUUUGGUCCUGUUCGGUUUAGAGGUUCAGAGAGAGGUAGUUCAAUGGUUCGGUUCAGAUGUUUAGAGACAAUGGUUCUAUAGGAAAAAUAGGCAAAAAUGUAGCAGCGAUGAGGGUAGAAGAAUCGGCCAGGGUAGAGGAAUCGGCGGACGGUAGAUUUGAUGAGACACGAUCCAUCUGAAACGGUGGUAGAUUUUAUGAGACACGAUCUCGUCGAUCCCAUCUGAAAUAGAAAUAGGGGACGGAUGCUGCGGCGGAGAGAGGAGAAGAAACGAUUUAUUGUAACGGACAUGAGAAGAAGCAAGGUCGCGCGGAGGGGAAGAGAUUUAUUGUAACGGACAUGAGAAGAAGCAAGGUCGUGCGGAGGCAGAGCGAUUUACUGUUUGGCGUGGAGAAGAAGCAAGGUCGUGUGCAUCGGUUUGGUUUGAUUUAGAGGUUUAGAUAGUGAACGGUUCGCAUCGGUUCGGUUUGGUUCGGUUUGGUUCAGAGGUUCAGAGAGAGGUAAUUCAAUGGUUCGGUUCAGAUGUUUAGAGACAACAGUUCGGUUCGGUUCGGUUCGGUUCGGUUCGGUUCGGUUCAGAGGUUCAGAGAUAGGCAGUUCAAGACUAAAUUACCAAUCAUUCUAGAAAAUAAUAAACGGUUG
rnacentral:lncRNA from 1 species